GAUGAAGAACGUAGCGAAAUGCGAUAAGUAAUGUGAAUUGCUGAAUUCAGUGAAUCAUCGAAUCUUUGAACGCACAUUGCGCCCGCCAGUAUUCUGGCGGGCAUGCCUGUCCGAGCGUCAUUUCAACCCUCGAACCCCUCCGGGGGGUCGGCGUUGGGGAUCGGCCCUUUACCGGCCGGCCCCGAAAUACAGUGGCGGUCUCGCCGCAGCCUCUCCUGCGCAGUAGUUUGCACACUCGCACCGGGAGCGCGGCGCAGUCCAAUGCCGUAAAACACCCAACUUUCUGAAAUGUUGACCUCGGAUCAGGUAGGAAUACCCGCUGAACUUAGGCAUAUCAAUAAGCGGAGGA
rnacentral:misc_RNA from 1 species